AAAUUGAAGAGUUUGAUCAUGGCUCAGAUUGAACGCUGGCGGCAGGCCUAACACAUGCAAGUCGAGCGGUAGCACAGAGAGCUUGCUCUCGGGUGACGAGCGGCGGACGGGUGAGUAAUGUCUGGGAAACUGCCUGAUGGAGGGGGAUAACUACUGGAAACGGUAGCUAAUACCGCAUAAUGUCGCAAGACCAAAGUGGGGACCUUCGGGCCUCAUGCCAUCAGAUGUGCCCAGAUGGGAUUAGCUUGUAGGUGGGGUAACGGCUCACCUAGGCGACGAUCCCUAGCUGGUCUGAGAGGAUGACCAGCCACACUGGAACUGAGACACGGUCCAGACUCCUACGGGAGGCAGCAGUGGGGAAUAUUGCACAAUGGGCGCAAGCCUGAUGCAGCCAUGCCGCGUGUGUGAAGAAGGCCUUCGGGUUGUAAAGCACUUUCAGCGGGGAGGAAGGCGGUGAGGUUAAUAACCUCAUCGAUUGACGUUACCCGCAGAAGAAGCACCGGCUAACUCCGUGCCAGCAGCCGCGGUAAUACGGAGGGUGCAAGCGUUAAUCGGAAUUACUGGGCGUAAAGCGCACGCAGGCGGUCUGUCAAGUCGGAUGUGAAAUCCCCGGGCUCAACCUGGGAACUGCAUUCGAAACUGGCAGGCUAGAGUCUUGUAGAGGGGGUAGAAUUCCAGGUGUAGCGGUGAAAUGCGUAGAGAUCUGGAGGAAUACCGGUGGCGAAGGCGGCCCCUGGACAAAGACUGACGCUCAGGUGCGAAAGCGUGGGGAGCAAACAGGAUUAGAUACCCUGGUAGUCCACGCCGUAAACGAUGUCGAUUUGGAGGUUGUGCCCUUGAGGCGUGGCUUCCGGAGCUAACGCGUUAAAUCGACCGCCUGGGGAGUACGGCCGCAAGGUUAAAACUCAAAUGAAUUGACGGGGGCCCGCACAAGCGGUGGAGCAUGUGGUUUAAUUCGAUGCAACGCGAAGAACCUUACCUGGUCUUGACAUCCACAGAACUUAGCAGAGAUGCUUUGGUGCCUUCGGGAACUGUGAGACAGGUGCUGCAUGGCUGUCGUCAGCUCGUGUUGUGAAAUGUUGGGUUAAGUCCCGCAACGAGCGCAACCCUUAUCCUUUGUUGCCAGCGGUCCGGCCGGGAACUCAAAGGAGACUGCCAGUGAUAAACUGGAGGAAGGUGGGGAUGACGUCAAGUCAUCAUGGCCCUUACGACCAGGGCUACACACGUGCUACAAUGGCAUAUACAAAGAGAAGCGACCUCGCGAGAGCAAGCGGACCUCAUAAAGUAUGUCGUAGUCCGGAUUGGAGUCUGCAACUCGACUCCAUGAAGUCGGAAUCGCUAGUAAUCGUAGAUCAGAAUGCUACGGUGAAUACGUUCCCGGGCCUUGUACACACCGCCCGUCACACCAUGGGAGUGGGUUGCAAAAGAAGUAGGUAGCUUAACCUUCGGGAGGGCGCUUACCACUUUGUGAUUCAUGACUGGGGUGAAGUCGUAACAAGGUAACCGUAGGGGAACCUGCGGUUGGAUCACCUCCUUACCUUAAAGAA
rnacentral:rRNA from 1 species